GUGACAUGAAAAAAAAAGUCUUCAAGUAGGUGUCAGUGUGGAUCCCACUGCAGGUGUGCAUGUGUCUGGAAAUUUUUGAGUAGGCCAUGCAUGUGCACUGUGCUCCUGUGUGAGUGCAUAAAGGGAAGAACGACCAUGACCCUCCCUCUGUUCCCUCUUACCCUCACCUCCCUCAACAGCAAGACAGAACCUGGACAAUUUCAGACCUGCUAGUUCAUAGCUUUAACUAAAUCUUACACAGAACUUCUGAAGUUCUUGAAAACACCUUUUGAUUACCUUCAUCUUUGAUAGCUAUGAUCAUAUUGACCCAUCUUGACUGAGUACCAACAGUUAGACUUCCCUAUACAGGCUUUCCUAGACUGACACACUCGCGAUAUAGAUCCUCACCCUGUACAGUGUAAGCUUAUGUAAUUCACCUCCUCCUUCAACAUGGAGAGGAAUAUGCGACAACUUUCUGACCUGAGUUACGAUUCCUACACACUGGUUUUAAACAAAGUAAAAACAAAUGUACUAACUAUAAAAGAUAAAUUUUAAGUGAUUAUAAGGGAUAGCAAACAGAUCAAAGCAGAUUACCAAGCAAAUAAAAAAAACUGCAAACUCAGUUUAAUAUACUACAUAGAUCAGAUAUGAAUAGCAAAUUCUCACCCUAAGUGAUGAUACAAAGGAGGCUGCAGAUUCUUAAGGGGCAAGCUGAAUUUGCGUACAGCUUGGAAUUUUCAGGUAUUUCAUUCACAGGCUAAAAAUCCCUUUAGCCUGGGUCCAGCACUUCCCCCAGUUCUGACUGUGUUCCUCAGGUGUUUCCAGGAGCCUUCUUGGGUGGGGAGUCAGUGAAGAACCCAGAUGAUGUCAUUCCCCUGUCUUAUAUAGCUUUUGCAUAUGACGAGAUCUCUUUGUUUCAAAACUUGGUUCCCAUGCCAGUCAAUGAAAAAAUAUUGACUUCCAAAGAUGGAGUCCAGCACCUGGUGACCUGGUCAAAUGUCCCUAUAGUGUCACAGCAGCCUCGAAGGCUGUUAGUAGCAUUCUCAGGAAGACUUCCCAGAUGAGAGAGAAGCUUCUUCUAAGUCCUAUUGUUUUCUCUAAUGGCCUUUAACUUGAAUGGGACUUUCCCAGCUAGCCAUCUAGACUGAGAGCCUUUUGUGUAGUGGGUUUUCUUCAGGUGUAAACACAUUUGAAAUAUAGAUACAUACUCAAUAUUCGUAACUUGAGAUACAAAAAUGAUACAUGCAUACAAAUAGGAUAAUCAUAUUCAGCAAAUCAUAACCUUUCUAAUGAUGUCUCACAUGCCUUAUCUUGCACAAAAUACAUCAUAACUAUGCCAUAAUCAUAAUAUCUCUGUGAAGAGUAUCAGGCACAGUGUCACAGGAGGUACCGACCACAGCUGAGGACCUGUCCUUUUUGAGGGCAUGGAGCUCUUUAGAGAGCAGGUAGAUAGUGCUCUGCAUUCAUUGGAAGACUCAAAGGUCACUUUACGAUCCCCCAGGAUUUGCAUCCCAACACUGUACUACAAGCUGUAGCACCCAUAGGCCCAGUUGAGGCCACAGACACCAGCUGAUCAACACAAGUAUCCUGAAUGCCAGGCCUAGAAAAGACUAAGGUACAUUAGAGGACACUGACCUUUUUCCUCCUUGGCAACACACCUACCCCUGGCACACAACAGCAAAUUUGACAGCACAGUUGGAAGCGACAUCAGAUCCAAUCAAAUGAGCUUUACCUUUGGAAUGUGCCUCACUCAAUUCUUCUGGGAAUGAUCUGCCCUUACAUCAAACAGAUGGGUGUUAGGGAUCAUCACCCAUGGCUAACCCACCCAUCCAAUUUUCACUCUUUACCUUUCACCUAUUCUCCUUGCCCAUCCUUCUUCAGAGACCCUUUUCAUGAGAGCCUAUUGCAAUCAGAAGUGGCCUCCUUGCUUCAUCUGGGAGCUAUGGAGGAGGUAACAGAAAAGUUCAGGAGGAGAGGCAUCUAGUCCCAGUGUUCCCUGAUUUUGAAGAAAGGGUGUCUUUGUCCUAUCCUAGACCUGAGAAGACUCAACAAAUAUGCUGUCUCUUGUUCAGGAUGGUAAUACUUGCCUCCAUCAUCCUCUCUCUCUCUCUCCAAGUUCAAGAUUGGUUCAUGGCUCUCAACUUGCAGGAGAUGUUUCCAUAUCCAAAUCCACCUAGCCCACAGGAAGUACCUAAGAUUGACAGUGGGGUCAAACCAUUACCAAUACAGAGUUCUGUCCUUUGGAUUCUCCAGUGCACCAAGAGUAUUCACAAAAUGCUUGGCACUAAUGGCAGUGUACUUAAGGAGACAGAGCAUCUGUAUCUACUUGUACCUGAAUGAUUGGCUGAGCAGAGACAGGUCCCAGCAGGAGAGUGGGAUCCUUGGAUUACAUAUUUUUCCUGUUGUCCCAAUUAGGACUCCUUAUGACUUACAGAAAUUGCCAUUGCCCCAUCACAGAUGAUAGAGUUCAUAGGAGCUAUGACUAACUCCAUGUCAGCCAAAGUCUACCUGUCAGAAGGCAGAUUCUGGUUUCUCCCAUUACUAGUCAAUGACCUGAAGUCAAAUUCAGUGAUGGUGUAUAUGUGUCUGGGGCUGUUGGUCACAUGUUGCCAUGCACAUAUAUGAUGCCGCUUGCCAGACUUCAUCAUCGCCCAUUACUCCUCUGGCUGAGGUCCAUGCACACCCUGUCGAGACACCACAUAGACAAAAAGGUCAUAGUCUCAUCCCAAGUCUUAUCAGAGCUAACUUGGUGGGUAGACCCAUUGAAUAUACCAAAAGGGGUCUCUGUUUCCUCCCCAAGUACGACACCUAUCACAGAUGUUUCAGGGAUGCAUUUGGGGUGCCUACCUGAACCUCCUGCAGAUGCAUAAGGAACAUGACCUCAGAAUGACCUACGAUUAUACAUGAAAUCCUGACAGACAACACAGUAAUGCACUAUAUAAACAAACAGGAAGGCACCCGAUCAUCCCCUAUUUGCCAGGAAGCCAUCAGACUAUGGAUGUGGUUCCAUCAACACAGAUCAGCCCUGCUGGCUCUACACUUUCCAGGGGUCAACAACAACCUGGAAGACUUUGUAAGCAGGCAUGCAGUGACCAAUCACAAGCAGUCACUGAAGGAGUCUAUCAAAGACAUGAUAUUCCAUCACCAAUUCCCCUGAUCCCCAGGAUGCUAUCCAACACCAGGACAAGGCUACGGGCAUCUAAUAGCCCUUUACUGGCCAACCCAGUUUUGGAUGUAAGACCCGGCCUGCCAGAUACAAUAUCCCAGAACCACAAUCAGAUCUUGCACCUGUACCCAUAGUCGUUAUGACUGAUGGCUUAGAUAUUGGCUGCUUGAGCAGUAGAGACAGAGACUGCUCCAUACAGGUUCAAAAGAUUCUCAUGCAAAGCAGAAAAUCCUCCAACAGGAAGAUUUACUUCUCAAAGUGGAAAAGAUCUUUCAUAUGAGCAGCCCCAAAUGGUUUGGAUCCAGUUAGGGAACUGAUUCCAAAAAUCCUGGUGUACACUGCUCCUGAAAUAGGUGAGACCAGCAUUCAGUUAUCUCAAAGUCCACUUGUCAUUAAUAAUUGUUUGGCUCAUUCAAAUUAUGCUCCUAACUCCCAUCAUCCUGAGGAGAAGCUGCUUGCCAGACAUCCACAUGUACAGAUGCUCAAAGAAAGAACUUACAAUAACUGUUUUUUAGAUGCAGUAGUCAGAGUGGAUCCCACAACACUCCAUCCAUCCUUGUUUUUUGGAGUCCUCAGCUAUCAGAGGCUUCAAACUGCAGAGGAAAAGAGGGAGGCUCCCAGCAACCCCCAAGCUUUAUGCCCUCGCAAAGGAGCGUGAGGAGGCAAAGAGCAUGUGCACAGCCCCACUGGACACCACUAUGCAAGAAUGUCCAGUUUCACACUGAUGAGGCUCGUGUGCAUCUUCAGUGGUAUCCACACUGAGUACAACAUCUCCAGGAACCACAGUUGCUGUAAGGUAAGUAACGUUCUUUCAACCUCUAAGAAAAAGGAGGGAAUGAAGUAUGUCUGAAGAAUUCCCUGCUUGGGAUUCUCAGGUCAAAGGGCAUGGCUGAAGGCAUGGCACUCCUUUCCCAUGAGGAGUGUUGCAGUCAAGGCUAGCAGCCUCCAGAGGCAUGGGAAAUGCCAGGUGACCACACAUGUAGAUAAGAAAUAAAUAUAAAGGUGUAAGGGGACACUUUUAACUUAAGUCUCCAAAGUGAGACAUUGAACUUGAUUUUUUCCUUGGGGCUAUGCAGUAGCUUGAAAAGAAUUCUCACUGUCUGUGAGACAUACUGUUAAAACAUUUUUCUUAUUCAGGUCUUGAUCUUGCACAGGACAAGUAUUGAGUGUAGCACAAUGUGUAAAAUGAUGAGGAUGACAAGGAAUAGAGGGGAUUGCAAGAAUACACUAAAGAGCAUUAUUGUACAGCUACAAAGUUAUUCUUCUCUUGUAACAGGAAUACAGCCAAAGAGGAUUCAGGAUUGGCAUAUCUGAUUUGCCUUGUGCUCAUCAGAGAAGAGGAACAUUCAUCCCACUCUGAGCACCUUGAAAGAGAGAAAUCAGGUCUUCUGUUUGCCAUCUCUUGGUUACUUUUUCUACCUUUCCCAUCAUAUGCUGGGCAGCCAGAAAGAUCAACCAAGUUCAAGCUUAAUUAAUCCUGAUCAUCCCUUAUGAGUUUAUUCUGUUCUAUAUAGGUUCUUCUAAUGUGCUCAUCACUUGUAAUAACUUAAUGAAGACACUCGUGGCUUGUAAAUUGCUGUAUGUGUUUGUCUGCCACAAAUAAUGCCAGUCUCUUGGGACUUCCUUCACUUGGCCCCCUAGACCUACCCGUCUGAGGCUCACAGACCUUAGUAGCCGUAGCUCCUAGAUCAUAGUUACUCUCAAAAGCUGGAUGAUUUCCUAAUGAAAUUCAUUAAAACUUUCACUAAUUGAUCUUA